rnacentral:tRNA from 1 species
GCCGCCGUGGUGGAAUGGCAGACACGGGGGACUUAAAAUCCCCUGCCCUCACGGGCAUGCUGGUUCAAUUCCAGCCGGCGGCACCA